CGCGAUUCGCCCUUCGGGGUGCAGCAGGCGCGAAAACUUUGCAAUGCGGGAAACCGUGACAAGGGAACUCUGAGUGCCCGUUAAAUCGGGCUGUCCAUCGGUUUAAAUAACCGGUGAAGAAAGGGCCGGGCAAGACCGGUGCCAGCCGCCGCGGUAAUACCGGCGGCUCGAGUGGUGGCCACUAUUACUGGGCUUAAAGCGUUCGUAGCUGGUUUGUUAAGUCUCUGGGGAAAUCUUCCGGCUUAACCGGAAGGCGUCUCAGGGAUACUGGCAGACUAGGGACCGGGAGAGGUGAGAGGUACUCCAGGGGUAGGAGUGAAAUCCUGUAAUCCUUAGGGGACCACCUGUGGCGAAGGCGUCUCACCAGAACGGCUCCGACAGUGAGGGACGAAAGCUGGGGGAGCAAACCGGAUUAGAUACCCGGGUAGUCCCAGCUGUAAACGAUGCGCGUUAGGUGUAUCGGUGACCACGAGUCACCGAGGUGCCGAAGAGAAAUCGUGAAACGUGCCGCCUGGGAAGUACGGUCGCAAGGCUGAAACUUAAAGGAAUUGGCGGGGGAGCAC
rnacentral:rRNA from 1 species